rnacentral:misc_RNA from 1 species
CCGUGGCUCGUACCUGUCAUGGACUCCUAAGAGCCGUUUGUGCGAGCGCAGGCACGCGCGAUCGAACGAUUUUCGUCGUGAAAAUCGGUCCUAUAAGAUUUUCCAAUUUGUUAAUUGAAAAGUUCGUAAAGUUAAAUUAAAAAAUGACGAAAUUAGAAAUAAACAGUGAUGAGGUUAUACAUGUAUAAGACUAAGCGACAGUUGUUCGAUUUUCCAAGUGCCGCGCACGGUCAGAUCGUCGAUUCAAAAUGAACAACUACUACCUCGGUAUGGGACAUGGGCUUUCUUCUGUCAGCCUGGAGACAAACAAAGAGGAGCAGGUGGCAAAGAUUGGAGAGAGGAUUCUUUAAGAAACGGAGCUGGGACUACUGAAGGAGCUUUUCCGUUUGAAAAUAUUUGAAGCAACUUACGACGAUAAGGUGGAGAAGAAGAGUUUGAAAUAAAAAAAGAACACAAGCAAUUGAGAAAAUUGAGAUAAUAAUUGAAAGUCUAAAGAUGAGACAAGUCGUUGUCCUAGAGCCAGCAGGCAGCGUUCUGGUGAUCAGGCAGACUUCUUUGAGUAGUGGUGGUGGUAAUGGUGGUGUCACAGGAGUUAACAACGCCAAUUUAUCAGCGAAUAAUAACGGACAUGAUGGUCAUACUCUUGCCAACCACGUAUCCGUAUCAUCGAAUGCCUCUAAUGAUCACAAUCAGAAUCGUAUUGUUGUUGUGCGUUCCUCGUCCACGUGCAUGACAACUACGGUUGAUGAGAACACGUCUAACAACGGAAACGGUAAUAUCAAUGUGAAUGCCAACAUCAAUGGCAACUCUACUGGUGGUAUCAAUUGCAAAACAUCGGCAACUGUCGGCCUUGGUGGUGUGUCCAAGUCGGUUGAAAGAAACGAUCACAAGAAUCAGGAAGGAAUCGUCGUUGGUGGUGGUGGUACAACUGCUUCUUCUUCUGCUUCUGCUGCUUCUGCUGCUNCUGCUGUUGUUGGAGAAUCGAACUCUGGAUGUCGUAUAAGAACAAGCAAGGAUGCCGUUCACGAGAGCGUAACCAUAGAGAGGAAGUUCGAUGGCGCGGAUCCCAUCUCCGAUGGGGAUCCCAUAAAGCUUCCGGAGAAUUUAGAGACUUUGCCGCGGGCCGAGCAUUUUCCCACGCAAAGACACCGAUGGAAUACCAACGAGGAAAUUGCUGCCAUCCUUAUAAGCUUUCAAAGGCACACCGAGUGGCAAAGUCGGGAAGUUAAAGUUAGACCUCGAAGUGGCUCGAUGUUGCUUUACUCGAGAAAAAAGGUUCGCUAUCGGCGAGAUGGUUACUGUUGGAAAAAACGUAAGGAUGGUAAAACCACGCGGGAGGAUCACAUGAAACUUAAGGUUCAGGGCGUCGAAUGUAUCUAUGGCUGUUACGUGCAUUCGGCGAUCCUACCAACGUUUCAUAGGAGAUGCUAUUGGCUCCUUCAGAAUCCAGACGUUGUCCUCGUUCAUUACUUGAACGUUCCAUAUCCGGAUGGUGACGCGAAGUUAGCGGCAUUGCCAACGUGUCUUGCAUUACCACCAGACAAGAAGGAAUGGACGCGGGACGAAUUAGCAUCUCAAUUAAGGCCCAUGUUCCUCGGUGGAGACGAUGAUCCGAAUAAUCCUCAUUUAACACAACACUCCACACAUCCGGUUGACAUGAUCGUUUCGCAAUUGCUAGAUAGACAGAGGGCAUCGUCCACUUCUAGCAGUAACACACCAAUUGCACCCAGAAGAUUAACACCAGAUAAUCAGGUUUCAUCAACGACCGGCGGUCAGCAGCCCUCGACAACAGCUUCGCCGGCUCCACGUGUAUAUUCUAGACAUUCCCAUUCGACUCAGAGCCAGCAGCCGGCUCCUUUAGUUUUAAGUUUGCAACAAAUUCAAGGUGGAGGUGGUCUUCUGAUACUUAACAGUCAACCAUAUCAUCAUCAACAACAGCAGCAACAACAGCAGCAACAACAACAACAACAACAGCAACAGCAGCAACAACAACAGCAACAACAACAGCAGCAACAACAACAGCAGCAACAACAGCAGCAACAACAGCAACAACAACAACAGCAGCAGCAGCAACAACAACAACAACAGCAGCAACAGCAACAGCAGAGUCAGCAAGUAGAAAUGCAACAAGUGACGGAGCAACAAAUCGUACAGCAAACCAGUGUCGAUAGAGAACAACAAACACAGCAAGAGAUCGAUGCACAGGAUAGCAUGGAUCGAACGACGGUUCAAUCCUUGCCUAUCACCAGUUCAGCUUCCGAGGUUACAGAUUUUGCUAAGAUGUUAGACUUGAGUCAAGAAGAUAUUCAGAGAACGUUAUCCGCAAACAUGGUUCCGCCCUCCCCGUCACCCUCACCCGCAGACGAUAGCAUGAUAAAUCCGAUGGACUUUAUCGAUUCUUCCGACGAUGUUCUUAUCAACUUGGAUGCCUUCGAUGUGUUUGGGGAUCUACCUGAAUUACACGAUUUCGAGGCAGAAGAUACGAAGCCAGAUAUCAGAGGUGGACAUGAAAAUGAUGUUGGAUGUCAGCCUGGGACAACCGUCCAGAUUGCAGAAUAUAGUCCCGAGUGGAGUUAUACCGAGGGUGGAGUCAAAGUUUUGGUUGCGGGUCCAUGGACAGGUGGGAAUGGUUCGCAAAAUUAUUCGGUACUUUUCGACGCGGAACCAGUGAAGGCUUGCUUGGUUCAACCCGGUGUAUUGCGUUGCCAAUGUCCUGCCCAUGCUCCAGGUAUCGCGUCUCUUCAGGUAGCAUGCGAUGGAUUUGUCGUAUCGGACAGCGUUGCUUUCGAAUAUCGAAGAGCACCUACAACCGAGCCGAAUCCAGAAAGAGCAUUGUUGGAUCGAUUGGCGGAUGUGGAAUCUCGAUUGCAAGGACCAGGUCCGCCGUCCCCAGCGGCUCACCUGGAAGAACGAUUGGUGGCUUAUUGCCAGGAUGCUGUCGUUCGUCCGUGGAGAGUCGGUGCCGAAGCUCUUCAAUCAGGUGGACCGACCCUGUUACAUUUGGCAGCAGGAUUGGGAUAUUCUAGAUUAGCUUGCGCGUUGCUACAUUGGAGGGCCGAAAAUCCGAGUAACGUAUUGGACGCUGAAGUGGAUGCUCUUAGACAAGACAGUGCUGGAUUGACACCGCUCGCCUGGGCUUGUGCCGCUGGUCACGCUGAUACAGCUAGAAUCCUUUAUAGAUGGAAUGCGAUGGCGUUGCGCGUGAGGGAUCGUCAAAAUAGAAGCGCAACGGAGCUAGCCGCGGAGAACGGACACACGGCAAUCGCCGAAGAACUGAAUCGGCUCGAAGCCAGAAGGCAAGACGAGAGGCUUUUCUUGCGACCAGCCAGCCCUAGCCCUAGGAGGCCUUCUCAAGACAGCGGUCUCGAUCUGGCGUUGUGUGGUUCCCCGCUCCUGGACAACAUGGAAUUGUUGCAAGAGGAUGAGUCGUCGUUAGGCCUCGGCGAUCAGGGAAUGGAGAGCGCUCCGACCCCUCAAGAGACCGUAGGGGAAGAAGACGCGAGGGUGCUGACGUUGGCCGAACAAAUAAUAGCCGCGCUACCGGAAAGGAUCAAGAGAGCGGAAGGUGAUUCUCCGUCUUCUUCCUCGUCCCCUCCGCCACCGCCACCACCGUUGUCGCCGUUAGAAGAUGCUUUGAUGGAGCAAAUGCCUCUCGAUUCCGGCGAAUUGUUCGACUCGUACCGUGAAUGCAGCGGAGGCGCGGCCUCCGUCUCGGAUGCCGACGCCGAAGCGAGUCCAUCGAGUCCUUCCAGCAGUUGCCUGACACCGGACUCGCCUUCGCCACCACCGACAACGGCAGACUUUUGCGAAUUUUUGCAAUUGCAGCUGCAACUAGACGGUGGUAACAAUCAGAACGGUGCCGGUCAAUAUUAUCCGAGCUGUAACGAGCGAAAAUUUGCCACUGGAAAUGAUGGAAAUGGUGGUGGGAAUACCGAUGGGAACGAAGCUGACUUGAGUAGGUUGACCUUGUCCGAUCGAGAACAGAGGGAACUAUAUCAUGCCGCAAGAAUGAUCCAAAAGGCCUAUCGGAGUUACAAGGGUCGUCAGAGGCAAGAAGAAGCCGAAAGACACGCAGCAGUUCUCAUACAACAGUAUUAUCGUCGGCACAAGGAGUGCGCUUAUUACAGGCAAGCUACAAAGGCAGCCCUGGUAAUUCAAAGCAAUUAUCGGAACUAUCGGUCUCGUCCAGGAUCAACUUGUUCGAGGCAACAGGCGGUACAUCAGCAAGCGGCUCAUCAAGCCGCCCGAAAGAUCCAACAAUUUAUGCGCCAGUCUAAAAUCAAACUGCAGAACGCCAGGGCCGCCGCAAACGGGAACGCGAGGCAGCCAGUGGGCAUUUCACGGGUGGUUGCUGUCCCCCAAAGCUCGCACUCAUCUAGCCCAGGGGCCAGCCUACUAGCCGGCAAGCCAGAGGUCAUUUAAACGAUCGUCAAUCCAACGGCACGAGGAACGCCAAUGGCGACACGAUUGGAAAUUUCAGAAACGAAAAACCAAAAUUGAAAAAGGUGGAAACGAUCGGUGUUGAUUUCAACACAAUUUCAACGUACGAGAAAGAGAAAGAGAGAGAGAGAAAUAAUUGACGUCCUUGGAAUAAUAAGGCAGGGAGGGCUGUUCAAAUAAUUUGCUGAAGAGAAAGAAAGACAGAGAUAGAAAAAAAAAAUAUAUAUUUUGAGAAAAGAAAAAUCAGUGAAUCUUUUACGAUUCUACUCGGAAUUAUAUAUAUAUUUCAUUUUUAUAUUUUACGUAUAAUAAUUAUGAUAAAUAAACAAA